CCUACGGGGGCUGCAGUGGGGAAUAUUGGACAAUGGGCGAAAGCCUGAUCCAGCCAUGCCGCGUGUGUGAAGAAGGCCUUCGGGUUGUAAAGCACUUUCAGUGGGGAAGAAAGCCUUGGGGCUAAUACCCUCGAGGAAGGACAUCACCCACAGAAGAAGCACCGGCUAACUCCGUGCCAGCAGCCGCGGUAAUACGGAGGGUGCGAGCGUUAAUCGGAAUUACUGGGCGUAAAGCGCGCGUAGGCGGUCUGAUAAGCCGGUUGUGAAAGCCCCGGGCUCAACCUGGGAACGGCAUCCGGAACUGUCAGGCUAGAGUGCAGGAGAGGAAGGUAGAAUUCCCGGUGUAGCGGUGAAAUGCGUAGAGAUCGGGAGGAAUACCAGUGGCGAAGGCGGCCUUCUGGACUGACACUGACGCUGAGGUGCGAAAGCGUGGGUAGCAAACAGGAUUAGAUACCCUGGUAGUC
rnacentral:rRNA from 1 species